rnacentral:rRNA from 1 species
GACGAACGCUGGCGGCGUGCCUAAUACAUGCAAGUCGAACGAGAGCGACCGGUGCUUGCACUGGUCAAUCUAGUGGCGCACGGGUGAGUAACACGUGGGUAACCUGCCCAUCAGAGGGGGAUAACAUUCGGAAACGGAUGCUAAAACCGCAUAGGUCUUCGAACCGCAUGGUUUGAAGAGGAAAAGAGGCGCAAGCUUCUGCUGAUGGAUGGACCCGCGGUGCAUUAGCUAGUUGGUGAGGUAACAGCUCACCAAGGCCGUGAUGCAUAGCCGACCUGAGAGGGUGAUCGGCCACAUUGGGACUGAGACACGGCCCAAACUCCUACGGGAGGCAGCAGUAGGGAAUCUUCCGCAAUGGACGCAAGUCUGACGGAGCAACGCCGCGUGAGUGAAGAAGGUUUUCGGAUCGUAAAACUCUGUUGUUAGAGAAGAAUAAGUGCUAGAGUAACUGUUAGCGCCUUGACGGUAUCGAACCAGAAAGCCACGGCUAACUACGUG